rnacentral:rRNA from 1 species
GGACUACCGGGGUAUCUAAUCCUGUUUGCUCCCCACGCUUUCGUGUCUCAGCGUCAGUUGCGGUCCAGUAAGCCGCCUUCGCCACUGGUGUUCCUCCCAAUAUCUACGCAUUUUACCGCUACACUGGGAAUUCCGCUUACCUCUCCCGCACUCAAGCUCCGCAGUUUCAAAGGCGACUAUGGGUUGAGCCCAUAGUUUUGACCUCUGACUUGUAGAGCCGCCUACACACCCUUUACACCCAGUAAUUCCGGACAACGCUUGCCACCUACGUAUUACCGCGGCGGCUGGCAC